rnacentral:tRNA from 1 species
UCCGCAGUAGCUCAGUCGGUAGAGCGGGUGGCUGUUAACCACCAUGUCGGCGGUUCGAGUCCGUCCUGCGGAGCCA